GUAGAAGGGAAAAGACCCGCCGGCCGGC
rnacentral:sRNA from 1 species